rnacentral:rRNA from 1 species
AGUCAUACCGUAAUGGAAAAUUUUUUGGAGUUGUUUGAUCGCCAACAACUUCAUCGAAUCAGAAUCAAAAUUCUUAAGAGCAUAAAUUAUUGAUCGAACAUUUAACUGUAAAACCAACAAAUCAGUUAUCAUUCAAAACCACAUCCAGACUAUCAUUGGAAUCAAAAUACAAUCAGCUUGCUAAUCAACACACCUUCAGUCUAUACAACAUGAGGGGUCUAAAACACACCGGAUCUGACCGCUUAUGGUCAAUCUACCUGGUUUCAAAGAACACAAAAGACUAACAUACGGAUCCAGUAUUCUAAGUUUUACCCAUCAAAAAUCUAAAUGGGUAUGCACAAUGUACUGAUUAAAUAAGAAGAAACAUAACAAUAUACAAAAAAAAACCACCUCAACGUAAUCCGCCUCGGGAUCCUUAGACAGUUUCCGAAGACGCUUCGCAGCACCACGUGUUACCAUAGGCAUCUUAGUAAAAAUCCUUUAAAAAGUGAAAACUGCAAGAAGUAAAAUAGGUAGUAUUAUUGGGAAGGGAAGGGAAGGGAGGAAGAUAAUUGAAUCAAUGUAACCCUAAAACUGAAAUAUAGAAGCAAAGAGUUAACAGUAGUAUCGGAAAACACCUAAAACGGAGCAAACAACUACAAACACAACACUAACACCAAUGGCAGGGAUAAACUGAUUAAAAUGUCAAAAACAACAACUAUAAACACAACACUAAAACCAAAAGGGCUUACAACGAUGAAUUAUACAAUUAAAAUUUGACGUUUGACGUUAACUCAGAGAUUCGUCAAUGGAAAACUGUUAAGGCAUGGGUCCUCCGACUGUUAAGGCAGUGAUUUAGAGAAGAAGAGCAGAGAAGAAAGGGAAGAAGAAGAAGAUCAUACCUGGAACUUAGCGUUGAAGAAGAAAGAAGAUCUUCUGAAAAACCCUUUGAAAGCAGCGAAAGAAAAGAGUGCAAAGUAGCAGGCAUUUGGAUGAUUUUUAUUUUAUUUAAAAAAAAUAGUUUUUGAGUUAAGUUGAAAAAAAGGUACUAUGAAAUUUAAAAUUAUGUUUUGACAUAUAUUUUACUUAACAAAAAUAUUACAAUUUUAUUAGUUUGAAAAAAGAAUUUCUGAAAACUUAUAAAUUUUCAUGACAAAUACUUUUUUUUAAAAACAAUCCGGGAAAAAGGUCAAUCCUAAGGGUUGGAGGAACCCCGACAGAUAGCGCGUUUCGCGCGUACUCCGAAAGGGAAUCGGGUUAAAAUUCUUGAACCAGGACAUGGCGGUUGAAGAAAAUGUUAGGAAGUCCGAAGAUGUGGGCGGUGGCCUCGGGAAGAGUUAUCAUUUCUGUUUAACAGCUUGUUGACCCUGGAAGAGCACCGCACGUCGCGUGGUGUCCGGUGCGCCCUUGGGGCCCCUGAAAAUCCGAAGGACCGAGUUCCGUCCAUGCCCGGUCAUAUUCAUAACCGCAUCAGGUCUCCAAGAUGAACAACCUCUGGUCGAUGGAACAAUGUAGGUAAGGGAAGUCAGCAAAAUGGAUCAGUAACUUCAGGAAAAGGAUUGGCUCUGAGGGCUGGGCACUAGGGUCCCAGUCCCGAAGCCGUCGGCUGUUGGUGGACUGCUCGAGUUGCUCCCGCGGUGAGAGCGGGUCACUGCGUGCCGGCCGGGGGAAGGACUGGGAACGGUUCCUUCGGGGGCCUUCCCCGAGCGUCGAACAACAAACUCAGAACUGGUACGGACAAGGGGAAUCCGACUGUUUAAUUAAAACAAAGCAUUGCGAUGGUCUUUGUGGAUGUUUACGCAAUAUGAUUUCUACCCAGUGCUCUGAAUGUCAAAGUAAAGAAAUUCAACCAAGCGCGGGUAAACGGUGGGAGUAACUAUGACUCCCUUAAGGUAGCCAAAUGUCUCGUCAUCUAAUUAGUGAUGCGCAUGAAUGGAUUAACGAGAUUUCCAAUGUCCCUGUCUACUAUCCAGCGAAACCACAGCCAAGGGAACGAGCUUGGCAGAAUCAGCAGGGAAAGAAGACCUUGUUGAGCUUGACUCUAGUCUGACUUUGUGAAAUGACUUGAGAGAUGUAGUAUAAUUGGGAGCCGAAAGGCGAAAGUGAAAUACCACUACUUUUAACGUUAUUUUACUUAUUCUGUGAAUUGGAAGCGGGGCACUGCCCCUCUUUUUGGACCCAAGGCUUACUUUCAGGCCUAUCCAAGUGAAAGACAUUGUAAGGUGGGGAGUUUGGUUGGGGCAGCACUUCUGUUCAAAGAUAACGCAGGUGUCCUAAGUUGAGCUCAACGAGAACAGAAAUCUCAUGUGGAAUAGAAGGGUAAAAGCUUGUUUGAUUCUGAUUUACCGUACGAAUACGAACCGUGAAAGCGUGACCUAACAAUCCUUUAGACCUUCGGAAUUCGAAGCUAGAGGUGUCAGAAAAGUUACCACAGGGAUAACUUGCUUGUGGCAGCCAAGCAUUCAUAGCGGCAUUUCUUUUUUAUCCUUCGAUGUCACCUCUUCUUAUCAUUGUGAAGCAGAAUUCACCAAGUGUUGGAUUGUUUAACCACUAAUAGGGAACGUGAGCUGGAUUUAGACCAUCGUGAGACAGGUUAGUUUUACCCUACUGAUGACUGUCUCCCAAUAAUAAUUCAACCUAGUACGAGAGGAACCGUUGAUUCGCAUAAUUGGUCAUCGUGCUUGGUUGAAAAGCCAGUGGCGCGAAUCUACCGUGCGCUGGAUUAUGACUGAACGCCUCUAAGUCAGAAUCCGGGCUAGAAGCGACGCAUGCGCCCGCUGUCCGCUUGCCGACCCGCAGUAGGGUCCUUUGGCCCCCAAGGGCACGUGUCGUUGGCUAAGUGAUCCCGGCGGAAGAGCCGCGGUGGCCGCCUUGUAGUACAAUUUCCAUCGAGAUGAGGUAGAAUCCUUUGCAGACGACUUAAAUACGCGACGGGGUAUUGUAAGUGGCAAAGUGGCCUUGCUGUCCCGAUCCACUGAGAUUCAGCCCUUUGUCGCUCCGAUUAGU